AUUGAACGCUGGCGGAAUGCUUUACACAUGCAAGUCGAGCGGCAGCGCGGCCUUCGGGCUGGCGGCGAGCGGCGAACGGGUGAGUAAUGCAUCGGAACAUGCCCAGUCGUGGGGGAUAACACUUCGAAAGAAGUGCUAAUACCGCAUACGUCCUGAGGGGGAAAGCGGGGGAUCGCAAGACCUCGCGCGAUUGGAGUGGCCGAUGUCAGAUUAGCUAGUUGGUGGGGUAAAGGCCUACCAAGGCGACGAUCUGUAGCUGGUCUGAGAGGAUGAUCAGCCACACUGGGACUGAGACACGGCCCAGACUCCUACGGGAGGCAGCAGUGGGGAAUUUUGGACAAUGGGGGCAACCCUGAUCCAGCCAUGCCGCGUGAGUGAAGAAGGCCUUCGGGUUGUAAAGCUCUUUCGGCAGGGACGAAACGGUGUGCUCUAACAUAGUCCGCUAAUGACGGUACCUGAAGAAGAAGCACCGGCUAACUACGUG
rnacentral:rRNA from 1 species